rnacentral:rRNA from 1 species
AACGAACGCUGGCGGCAUGCCUAACACAUGCAAGUCGAACGAGACCUUCGGGUCUAGUGGCGCACGGGUGCGUAACGCGUGGGAACCUGCCCUUAGGUUCGGAAUAACUCCCCGAAAGGGGUGCUAAUACCGGAUAAUGUCUUCGGACCAAAGAUUUAUCGCCUUUGGAUGGGCCCGCGUUGGAUUAGCUAGUUGGUAGGGUAAAAGCCUACCAAGGCGAGGAUCCAUAGCUGGUCUGAGAGGAUGAUCAGCCACACUGGGACUGAGACACGGCCCAGACUCCUACGGGAGGCAGCAGUGGGGAAUAUUGGACAAUGGGCGAAAGCCUGAUCCAGCAAGGCCGCGUGAGUGAUGAAGGCCUUAGGGUUGUAAAGCUCUUUUACCCGGGAUGAUAAUGACAGUACCGGGAGAAUAAGCUCCGGCUAACUCCGUG